rnacentral:rRNA from 1 species
AGCGAACGCUGGCGGCAGGCCUAACACAUGCAAGUCGAACGAACUCUUCGGAGUUAGUGGCGGACGGGUGAGUAACACGUGGGAACGUGCCUUUAGGUUCGGAAUAACUCAGGGAAACUUGUGCUAAUACCGAAUGUGCCCCCCGAUUCAUUUUGGGGUGGGAAAGAUUUAUCGCCUUUAGAGCGGCCCGCGUCUGAUUAGCUAGUUGGUGAGGUAAAGGCUCACCAAGGCGACGAUCAGUAGCUGGUCUGAGAGGAUGAUCAGCCACAUUGGGACUGAGACACGGCCCAAACUCCUACGGGAGGCAGCAGUGGGGAAUCUUGCGCAAUGGGCGAAAGCCUGACGCAGCCAUGCCGCGUGAAUGAUGAAGGUCUUAGGAUUGUAAAAUUCUUUCACCGGGGACGAUAAUGACGGUACCCGGAGAAGAAGCCCCGGCUAACUUCGUGCCAGCAGCCGCGGUAAUACGAAGGGGGCUAGCGUUGCUCGGAAUUACUGGGCGUAAAGGGAGCGUAGGCGGACAUUUAAGUCAGGGGUGAAAUCCCGGGGCUCAACCUCGGAAUUGCCUUUGAUACUGGGUGUCUUGAGUAUGAGAGAGGUGUGUGGAACUCCGAAUGUAGAGGUGAAAUUCGUAGAUAUUCGGAAGAACACCAGUGGCGAAGGCGACACACUGGCUCAUUACUGACGCUGAGGCUCGAAAGCGUGGGGAGCAAACAGG